rnacentral:rRNA from 1 species
AACGAACGCUGGCGGCAGGCCUAACACAUGCAAGUCGAGCGAGGACUUCGGUCCUAGCGGCGGACGGGUGAGUAACGCGUGGGAACGUGCCCUUUGCUACGGAAUAGCCCCGGGAAACUGGGAGUAAUACCGUAUGUGCCCUUUGGGGGAAAGAUUUAUCGGCAAAGGAUCGGCCCGCGUUGGAUUAGGUAGUUGGUGGGGUAAUGGCCUACCAAGCCGACGAUCCAUAGCUGGUUUGAGAGGAUGAUCAGCCACACUGGGACUGAGACACGGCCCAGACUCCUACGGGAGGCAGCAGUGGGGAAUCUUAGACAAUGGGGGAAACCCUGAUCUAGCCAUGCCGCGUGAGCGAUGAAGGCCUUAGGGUUGUAAAGCUCUUUCAGUGGGGAAGAUAAUGACGGUACCCACAGAAGAAGCCCCGGCUAACUCCGUGCCAGCCGCCGCCGUAAGAC